GAUGCAGUAGCACAGUGGUUAAGUGUGCUUGAGUUGGGAUCAAAAGGUCCUGAGUUCAAGCCCUUGCCACAGCC